AUUGAACGCUGGCGGCAUGCUUUACACAUGCAAGUCGGACGGCAGCACAGAGAAGCUUGCUUCUUGGGUGGCGAGUGGCGAACGGGUGAGUAACAUAUCGGAACGUACCGAGCAGUGGGGGAUAACUAAUCGAAAGAUUAGCUAAUACCGCAUAUUUUCUGAGGAAGAAAGCAGGGGACCUUUGGGCCUUGCGCUGUUUGAGCGGCCGAUAUCUGAUUAGCUAGUUGGUGGGGUAAAGGCCUACCAAGGCGACGAUCAGUAGCGGGUCUGAGAGGAUGAUCCGCCACACUGGGACUGAGACACGGCCCAGACUCCUACGGGAGGCAGCAGUGGGGAAUUUUGGACAAUGGGCGCAAGCCUGAUCCAGCCAUGCCGCGUGUCUGAAGAAGGCCUUCGGGUUGUAAAGGACUUUUGUCAGGGAAGAAAAGGGCGGGGUUAAUACCCCUGUCUGAUGACGGUACCUGAAGAAUAAGCACCGGCGAACUACGG
rnacentral:rRNA from 1 species